rnacentral:rRNA from 1 species
GUUAAUGCUCUCGUACUCGUUCCCCAUGUAAAAGCCGGUCAUCUAUCCGACCCGUCUUGAAACACGGACCAAGGAGUUUAUCGUGUGCGCAAGUUUUUGGGUGUUAAAAACUUAAAAGCGAAAUGAAAGUAAAUGACUCUUUAGAGUCUGAUGUGCGAUCUUGUAAAAAAGUGUAGCAUGGCCCCAUUCUAACUGUUUACAGUAGGGUGU